rnacentral:rRNA from 1 species
AUACUAAGACAUAUCUUAUAAGUAAUAACUAAUAAAAACAAUUCAGAAUAAACAACCCAUUAUACAUAAAGAGAAAAGUACUAAAAAGGAAUAAAUAAUAUUGUAAAGUAGUAAAUAAUUACGUACCUUGUGCAUUAUGGUUUUACAAGCUAACAAAUUUAAAAUAUGCCCCGAAUCCUACGCGAGCUGUUCUAAUAUAGUUAAGAACCCACCACUAGUUGUAGCAUCAACUUUGGAAAAUAUUCUAACAGAGGCUACAUACCAUACGCGCUAGUAAAUUGCUGGUUUUCAGUAAAAUUUAUAAAUUAAAACAUGUAGCACUUCUACAAUGUAAGAUUGCAGAGGACAAGCCCUGCGAUCACAAGCUAACUUACGUCAACAUUCAUAAUUAGGCCUAAAAACAGCCACCUUCAUUACGUUACUGUAAUAAGUCCCUAAUAAGUAGUAGAUAUGCUACCCUAAACUGAAAUUUAAGAGUAACACCCCCCCCCCUUAAAAUAUUAUGUAAAAAUAAGUAUUAUGAAAUUUAUAUAUGUAAUAAACCUACAACAUAUACAACCUUAAAACCUCAUAAAGGAACUCGGCAAAUCUUAUUUCGACUGUUUAACAAAAACAUUGCUUCCUGAAUUCCUAAUAGGAAGUAAUUCCUGCCCAGUGACAAGUUUAACGGCCGCGGUAUCCUAACCGUGCAAAGGUAGCAUAAUCAUUUGCCCAUUAAUUGUGGGCUAGCAUGAAAGGAUCAACGAAAUAAAGACUGUCUCUAUGAGCCAUCUAAAAAUUAAUCUCUAACUGAAGACUGUUAGAUAGUGUCGAAGGACAAGAAGACCCUAUAGAGCUUUAUUAAACAUUUUUUUUUCAAAAAAUCUAAGAUUCGGUUGGGGCGACCAGGGAAAUAAAUAUCAUCCCUAAAAAAAAGAUAAAUUAAUCGUUAAUCUGACCCUUAAUAAAGAUCAUAAAAUCAAGCUACCUUAGGGAUAACAGGCUAAUCUCACUAAAGAGUCCUUAUCAAUAGUGAGGUUUGGCACCUCGAUGUUGGCUUAGGGAAUCCAUACGGCGCAAAAGUCGUAUAUAGAUGGUUUGUUCAACCAAUAAUACCCUACAUGAGCUGAGUUCAGACCGGCGUAAGCCAGGUUAGUUUCUAUCCUCGAUAAUUAUUCUAUUUAUAGUACGAAAGGACCUAAAUAGGAAUAAUAAUUAUAUAAAAGAAUUCAUAUAACUUAAAAUUUAAGCAUAAAAAAAUAUAAACUAUAU